AUAUGCAGAGGACCAAGGAUGAAGAAUGGAAUUGUGCACACACACACACACACACAAGAGUUUUUGGAUUCCUCUGUGGUGAUUGCUCUGGAAGAUGACAACAUGAAGCCGUGCCUCCCAGCAGAGCAGUGUGAGAGGGAUACUGGCCUCCAGCUGGAAUCACCGGCCACAAGUCUGAUAAGAAUGCUGGAGGCUGUUGUUCAUGAAAGAUAAAGAGCCACCUGUUUUCACUUCUGUAAACAAGCUUGAUUGCCUCAACUUCACAAUGUGAAGUUGGAUCACAAUGCGAUGUGUUUGAUCACAGAUCCAGACUGAACUGAACUGAAGUUCCCAAAUGGUUGAGGGGAGCUGCUUCUGUGUGAAAAGAUUUUGCAAGGCUGAUUAGCUGAUUCCAACUUCAGGGAUUGUGGAGAGUUGGAAUGUUGCAGAUCUGGAUCCAAAUUAUCUUGGGCCAUCUUUAGCCCCUUCAAUAGGCAUUCGUUACCUACUUCCUUUGGGAAUGUGUGAGCAAAUUGCUUGGCUUCCA